GAUAAAUCUGGGCCAUUGUCCUUUAAAAGGACAAGGAUGAUGAGAUGGAUGUCAGAGGACCACCUAACACAUUAGAUGGUUAACUGGUCCUGCCAAAAUUUUCUGGUUCAGAUAAAAAAUAUCUUGACUGUACAGAAUCAUAAUGCCAAAAAAUACAGGGGGAAGCAGCCAAGAUCGUAUGCAAGGUCAACAGGAUCUUGAGUCAGCUUUGUGUAUUGGAACAGGUUCCCAUAGCAACUAACAUGCUUUCUGUCUCUGUUGGAACCAUAGAGCCAUAAAGUACAUAAAUCACGCCUUGAUUGUAUGGACCUGCCUGAUCCUUCUUUCCCGUUAUCUGCCACUGAGUGAAUAGUCGUGAGUUGUAAGAUUGUCAGCAACACCAAAAGGCUAAAGUUAAUUUAUGCAGCCCUCUCGCUCUAAUACUGGAAAAUUCCAGUUCUCUGCCCUUCUUAUACAAUCUGCAUCUUCCUCAAAUGUUUUGAUUUCCAACGUCUCAUCUUGAGCCUUCUGGUGUCAUUCCGAGGUUUAUUUUCUGUGGUGUUUUUUUAUUA